GUUUUUGAUAAGGUAAUGCUGCUGGCUAGACUGAAAGAAGAAGAAGUCAUUGUGGUUCGUGAAGUCAAACAGCACAUGGAGUACAUGAGGAGUGUUGCUGGACUGAUUAAAGAGCUUACCUUUCAGCUCACUGAAGACACCAAUGAGAAAUGCAGUACAGAGGGAUUGAUGGAGAAAGGACAUGAGGGACUACUCUGAUUGUGUGAAGUUGAAGCACAACUGGCCACAGCACGCACAACAUACAAAAGUAUUGUUGGACUGCAAACAUUGUCCUUAGAUGACUUCUCUGAAGAGGAAGACUUGGAGAAUACUUCUUCUACUGAUGAGGAACUGGGAGACUAGUUGUUGGGAGAUGAUGUGUAUCGAACUAAAACAGUGCUGUAAAUAACUUGUUUGUAAAACCUGAGGCAAUUUUACUGCUGUUUACUGCAAAUUCCUCUGAAACUGUGAACAACCAUUAUGUUAGUAUUGUGCAUCCUGCAUAGCUUCACUGUAGUUGUGUAGUGUACAUAGCCUAUUGUAUUGUUACUCUCUCCAACAGUGUGCUAUUUGUGCUUAUGUUUCCACAUGUUCGUAUAUUAAUUCUCUCUCUCUCCCUCACUCACUCUCACACCUUCUCUAUCUGAAGAUAUACAGUCUUUAUUUUGAACAGGGCAUAGUCUCUUGGUUUUAGAAAGCCUGCUUUAUUAAUUUCACCCAGUAAAGUGAACUGUUGUUUCAA